UACGGAGGGUGCAAGCGUUAUCCGGAUUCACUGGGUUUAAAGGGUGCGUAGGUGGGCAAGUAAGUCAGUGGUGAAAUCUCCGGGCUUAACCCGGAAACUGCCAUUGAUACUAUUUGUCUUGAAUACUGUGGAGGUCAGCGGAAUAUGUCAUGUAGCGGUGAAAUGCGCAGAUAUCAGGAGGAACACCAAUGGCGAAGGCAGCUCGCUGGGACGGUACUGACGCUGAGGAGCGAAAGCAUGGGGAGCGAACAGG
rnacentral:rRNA from 1 species